rnacentral:lncRNA from 1 species
GCACUAUCCUAGAAGACCCCAGUUUUAGAAAGAGAAACUGCAGAGUUUAAUGAUUAAAGAGCAAUAUGCAGCCUAAAAGCCACAAGCUGAGUUUCACAAAUCGCCUUUCUUUUAAACCCAGGCCACAGAUCCAGAUUCAGGAGACAACGGACUUCUGCUGUACAGCUUAGUGACUAACCAAACAAACGAAUUUUACAUCGAUGAAAACACAGGGGAGAUUUUUACAGUUUCUGUAGCAGGAAUGUCUGGAACAUUUUAUCUGGAAGUCCAAGCUGCAGACCAAGGCACAAGAAGACUCACAGCCCAGACAACAGUUAAUGUGACUGUUGAUUCCAGUUCCAGUAACAACUUGGUGGUGGCAGUGCUUAAUCAGAAAAUCAAUGUUGUUGAAAAAAACAUUGCUGAAGUAAAAAGGUAUUUUAAAACUGUGAAGCUUAUUCUGAUAUAUUAUCUAAUCACAAAUUCAGAGUCCCUUUGAGGUAGGGAUCUGACGGCCUACAGAGGAGGUGGUUCAGCCAAGUGCCCAUGAAAAGCUAGGCCUUCAACUUGAGGUAGUUCAGAAUAAUUUGAGAGAAUUCACAGGGAUUUUACCUGGUAAAGGCUUUGGCCUGAGCUGACAAAUGUCAAAGAGGUCAUUGGACUAGAUGAUUUCAAGAGGUCUCUUCUCACCUCAGUGUUUGUGAUUUUUAACAGCCCAGGAUAAAGUACUGUAUGGGUAGUAGGCUCAAGAUACCGAUGUGGAGACAGACAGGAGAGUAGGCACAAACCAAACCCACCUGUGCUACAAGUGAAAAAUCUCCCUUGUAGCACAGCAGUAGAGCUUCUCAAGGAGGUCUCAGCCCUACAGUGCUAUGGGAUUAGGUAAUGAUGUGUGGAUGGCUACACUACAAUGAAAAACACAUUUGGGCCUUUUAGGCACGUUAAUGAAGACGCAAUGCUUUUCUAUUUUGAUUACACAUAAACAUGUAUUUACACUGGAAAUAUCGAGUUCUGUGCUUUUGAGGGGAAAUUACUUCGAAGGACAGAAAAAUGAAUUUUUGACAUUGACACUUUUAUAGCACCAGUUUCGUGUUGGUAAAAAUUAAAUGGAAGCCCUAGAGCUGCUCUGCCAGUUUCUUUGAAGCAGCUGGUACUGAUUGCUAUCGGAAUAAUGGAUUAACUGGGCCUAUGGUCCAAUCCAGUGUGAAAAUCUCUCUGUGAAAAAGAAGGAGAAAACAAUGAGGAUUAUGAGACUGAAUUUCUCUCCUCCCCACCCUUACGAGUACUCUAUAGGUAUCACUGCCUGUAUUUAUAAAAAAUAAGCCAUAUGUUGCUUUGAAAAGCGUGAACUAA